rnacentral:rRNA from 1 species
AUUGAACGCUGGCGGCAUGCCUUACACAUGCAAGUCGAACGGUAGAGGGGCAACCCUCGAGAGUGGCGAACGGGUGAGUAAUGCAUCGGAACGUACCCAGUUGUGGGGGAUAGCUCGGCGAAAGCCGGAUUAAUACCGCAUACGCACUGAGGUGGAAAGCGGGGGACUCGGCAAGGGCCUCGCGCAGUUGGAGCGGCCGAUGUCAGAUUAGCUAGUUGGUGGGGUAAAGGCCUACCAAGGCGACGAUCUGUAGCUGGUCUGAGAGGAUGACCAGCCACACUGGGACUGAGACACGGCCCAGACUCCUACGGGAGGCAGCAGUGGGGAAUUUUGGACAAUGGGCGCAAGCCUGAUCCAGCCAUGCCGCGUGCAGGAAGAAGGCCUCGGUUGUAAC